rnacentral:rRNA from 1 species
UACAGAGGUGGCAAGCGUUGUUCGGAAUUACUGGGCGUAAAGGGUGCGUAGGCGGCUUUGCAAGUCUGAUGUGAAAUCUCCGGGCCCAACCCGGAAAUGGCAUUAGAAACUGUGAGGCUGGAGGCUUGGAGGGGGAACUGGAAUACUUGGUGUAGCAGUGAAAUGCGUAGAUAUCAAGUGGAACACCGGUGGCGAAGGCGAGUUCCUGGACAAGACCUGACGCUGAGGCACGAAAGCCGGGGGGAGCAAACAGG